GAUGAACGCUGGCGGCGUGCCUAAUACAUGCAAGUCGAGCGAACAGACGAGGAGCUUGCUCCUCUGCCGUUAGCGGCGGACGGGUGAGUAACACAUGGAUAACCUACCUAUAAGACUGGGAUAACUUCGGGAAACCGGAGCUAAUACCGGCGAAUAUAUUGAACCGCAUGAUUCAAGAGUGAAAGAAGGUUUUGCUGUCACUUAUAGGUGGAUCCGCGCCGCAUUAGAGAGUUGGUAAGGUAACGGCUUACCAAUGCGACGAUGCUGAGCCGACCCGAGAGGGUGACCCGCCCCACUGGGCCUCAGACACCGUCCAGACGCCGACGGUAGUCAUCAGUACGGUAUCUUCCGCGAUGGGCGAAAGCCUGACGGAGCAAUGCCGCGUGAGUGAAUAAGGACUUCGGGUCGUAAAGCCAUGUAAUUAGGCAAGAACAACUGUGUAAGUAACUAUUCAUGUCUUGACCGUCCCUAAACAGACAGCCACGGCUACCCACCUG
rnacentral:rRNA from 1 species